rnacentral:lncRNA from 1 species
AAUUAAGUCUAUUUCUCCCCCACAAGUUCUUAUCCAACCCUUUCUCUUCUCUUCUAUUCUCUACUCUUCUCUCCUCUAUUUCUACCCUAAUCCCAAUCUCUAUCUCUCUACCUCAAUUCUCUAUCUCUAUCACUAUCUCUAUCCUUCCCUCACCUCUUACCUCAAAUUCCUCUUAAUUCUUAUCCCAAUUCGCUACUCAGAUCGGGCUGUUACAAAUUGGGUGCUAUUCAGAUCAGGCUGAUACGAUGAUUGGGUUAUUACAAGCUGGAAAAGCAAAGGCAGAAAAGCGAGAAAUUGAUAACUACAAAGAUAAACCCCCUUGGAAGAAAAUUCCUGCAGAUAGGUGGAAGAGGAUUGACAUCAAGUGCCUACCUGAUGACACUGAUGUGUUCUGCAGGCAAAUGCAAAGCAGGGCACUGGAAGACUAUCGAGCCAGAUCGGAGAACUUAAGAGUUCAAAAACCAAUCCACAAUUCUAACCUGGCAGAGGCUUGCCAAGUGUGGGGCUUUGCGAAUGAAUACAACGAACUAGGGGCAAUGCUCAAAAUGCCACACCCUUGUUCAUUGUCAUUGGCCUACGAACAAGCCAAGCUGAAGGAAUCUAAUGGAGAAUGGGCUGUUGGACUUCACACUUCAGGAAUAUGGCAAAUUUAUCAUAGAAUUGAACUGUUCUUUCGCUGCGCAGGAAUGAUCAGGAAUUUACAACAGUUAGUGCAAGAAUAUGACAGUUACUUGCGAGUUGAGUGGGAAAAUAAGCCGAAACAGAGCUAUAUAUGGUGGUCCCUUGCAGAAGGAUGGGUUGGCGACAAUUUCCACACUUCAACACAAGUGCAAUUCUUUCGAGCUGUAUUUGGUUAUUUUCCACCAGCCUAUGUAUCAAUCCUUUCGGAGAAUACUCUAGUGGAGUUGAUUUCAAGUCGGAGUAAGCAAAGUGAGCAGGACAGACACAAGGUUAUAGAGCAAUUAUGCUUGAAGUUGUUACUCUGUGAGCAACCUAUCAUGUCUCUGGAAGGGUAUCUGAGGCUCACAAUUAACCAAUUUGGACUUUACUAUAUCUCGGAGCAAACAAGAUCGGCGGCGCGCAGGUUGCGACUACCUGAUGGUCCCAAGGGUGAACUCCUGCCCCAACAGGGCCGCCGUCCAUGCUACCAGCCGGAGGAGAUGGUCGAGUGUAGACAUAAUUGGAAAACACCUCAGAUCGGCGCAAGGGGGCAAGAAAACAGAGCAAAGGAUUCGAAAUGUGGGUUAAAAGAAGUAACUUGGAAGGAGAAGAAGUGCUACUUAGGAGGCAACUGGGCACUCCCAAACCCAGUUCAAAUAUGUUCAUGAGCUCCAGCCUUGAGGACAAGGAUGAAAUUAAGGGGAAGGGAUUGUAACAACCUGGGAAAAUAAUAGUAGUAGUUAGUAAAAUGGGGAAAAAGAUAACAACUUUACUCAGUUAGGAAGGGAUAAGCGGCAGCCGCAAGGUGGAGGAAGGGGAGCUCGAGAAGCUGAUCAGACGGUAAGGUGCUUCCGAAUCAAAGAGGAGGAGGGGGAGGAGGAGAUCGAGCGGAGAGCGGCAAGCUGGAUCUAGGCGAGGGAGCGUAGUAGCUUCCGCUCUGGCGGGUCGGGCGACCCAAUCCGAGGAUCGGCGCGCAAAUCCGAGGGUCAAGCGGAGGGGUACCCGAUAACCCGCGCCCGAUUACAAGGCUCCAGGGACCUGCUAAGCUCAAACCGAGGCCCAAGGUACCGCCGGCCCACACCUCUAUUUACCAAUUUUACAAUAUAGCCCUCGUAGAAUAGUUUAAUUACAUUUCCAUACAAGUUGCAUAGAGUAUAUUUAUAGUUAACCUGAUGUAAUUGGAAGGGAUGAAUGAAAUGAAAUGAAUUAAGUCUAUUUCUCCCCCACAAGUUCUUAUCCAACCCCUUUCUCUUCUCUUCUCUUCUCUACUCUUCUCUCCUCUAUUUCUACCCUAAUCCCAAUCUCUAUCUCUCUACCUCAAUUCUCUAUCUCUAUCUCUAUCCUUCCCUCACCUCUUACCUUAAAUUCCUCUUAAUUCUUAUCCCAAUUCGCUAAAUUGGAGGCCGUAGUAUACCCAUCAUCCCCGUCGCCAUACCAUCUCAGCAAAUUCUCAUCC